UUCGGUUGAUCCUGCCGGAGGCUACCGCUAUUGGAGUUCGAUUAAGCCAUGCGAGUCGCGAGUCUUAGGGACUCGGCGUACCGCUCAGUAACACGUGGGUAACCUGCCCUAUGCUGGGGGAUAACCUCGGGAAACUGAGAAUAAUACCCCAUAGUUCACCACGCCUGGAACGGUGGGUGGACCAAAGCUCCGGCGGCAUAGGAUGGGCCUGCGGCGUAUCAGGUUGUAGGGGGUGUAAUGUACCCUCUAGCCCUCUACGCGUACGGGUGUUGAGAGACAUCGCCCGGAGAUGGAUUCUGAGACACGAAUCCAGACCCCACGGGGUGCAGCAGGCGCGAAAACUUGGCAAUGCGAGAAAUCGUGACCAGGGAACUCCAAGUGCAUCGGGUAAGACCGAUGCUUUUCUUGACUCUUCAAAGGUCUUGGAAUAAGGGGUGGGUAAGGACGGUGCCAGCCGCCGCGGUAAUACCGGCGCCCCAAGUGGUAGUCGCUUUUAUUGGGCCUAAAACGUCCGUAGCCGGUCUGGUACAUUCGUGGGUAAAUCAACCAGCUCAACUGGUUGAAUUCUGCGAGCACGGCCAGACUUGGGACCGGGAGAGGUGUGGGGUACUCUCAGGGUAGGGGUAAAAUCCUGUCAUCCUGAGAGGACCACCUGUUGCGAAGGCGCCACACUAGAACGGAUCCGACGGUCAGGGACGAAGCCUAGGGGCACGAACCGGAUUAGAUACCCGGGUAGUCCUAGGUGUAAACGCUGUGGACUUGAUGUUGGGGGCGCUCCGAGCGCACUCAGUGUCGAAGCGAAGGUGAUAAGUCCACUGCCUGGGGAGUACGGUCGCAAGGCUGAAACUUAAAGGAAUUGGCGGGGGAGCACCGCAACCUGAGGAUUGUGCGGUUUAAUUGGAUUCAACGCCGGA
rnacentral:rRNA from 1 species